UGAACCUGCCACAACUGGAGGAAGUAUGUCGAAAACAAAUUGGAAGAAAAGGAAAAAAAACAUGACUAAAGAAGAAAAAGUAUGAUUCUAAAAAGACAAAAAAAAGAAAGAAAAAGUGGACUCAAAUGACGGCCAUGAAUUGCGGCUUUGGUUGUGCCAGCUGGCUGCAGAUUGUCGCCAGAGCCAUGAAGGGUUGAGACUCCGCUUUCAUUCAGAUGCCCCGCCCCCUAACUGUUAUCCACAUUUGCUCCCGGUUGCCAUUCUAUAAAAUCACCUUUAACCAGCUUUAGCUUUUAGGCUAUCUUCUCCUCCAGCUAUUGUGAUGCAGUAGCACAUAAUCAACCAGUAAGAGAUAUCCUGAGAGAGUCCUCUGUGGGUUAGUGUUAAGGUUACAGCUGUACAAAAAUCAUCAUAUUAUCACAUAAUAUUGAAUGAAUGCUGCACUAUGCAUCUUACUUGUUAAAUUGUUAACGAGGAUUAUAAUGUCACGGUCUUUGAAAUUGAAAAAUUGGAGUUGAAAUAAAGCAGUUGUUUUAACACUGUGUUUGGGUCCUGAUAGUUGCAGUUUUGUCUUGAGCAUUUGCAAGACACCAUGUGGUGAGAGUGGUUAAUUCCUGUUUUAGCAAUCCAGGACAAAUGCUCAAAUGUAUAAAA